AACCAGGAGACAGGUGCCGCAUGGCUGUCGUCAGCUCGUGUCGUGAGAUUGUUGGGUUAAGUCCCGCAACGAGCGCAACCCUUAUCUUUAAUUGCCAGCAUUCAGUUGGGCACUUUAAGAGACUGCCGGUGUUAAACCGGAGGAAGAUGGGAGGACGUCAAGUCCUCAUGGCCUUUAUGCUUAGGGCUACACACGUGCUACAAUGGGUGGUACAAAGAGAAGCCAACUCGCGAGAGCGCGCCAAUCUCAAAAAGCCAUCCUCAGUUCGGAUUGGAGUCUGCAAUUCGACUCCAUGAAGUUGGAAUCGCUAGUAAUCGCGGAUCAGCAUGCCGCGGUGAAUACGUUCCCGGGCCUU
rnacentral:rRNA from 1 species